ACAAGGGAAUGACGAGGAAGAGAACCAGGAUUAACAGAGGAAGCCUAUGUCCAUUUCUCUGUGAAGUGAUGGAUGAGUGACAGGUGUUCUCUAAGAGCGAGGAAGAGAUUGAUCAAUACUGAUCUUCGUCACUUCAGCAGCACACAGGAACAUUGGUCGGGGAGGCUAUGUUCUGUUUCAGGCGACAGUAUCAACCUGACUAUUUGUGGUUCUUGAAAUCUGACGGGACGUUUCUAUGUGACUUUAAGGGGAUGGUGUGUUUGGUGCUAAUAACAAGACUUAAAAAUACAUAUGUAAGAAUCCUGCAUCCGAAAACAUGCAAAAGGGCGAUACUAAACUCAGUCCUCACUUCCUUCUGUGCCAGUUUGUUUUGUACCUUCAUGUCAACGGUCCAGUCUCAGUCUCGCUGUGUUUUCAGAGAUUUUUCACCAGCUGGUGUCAGUUGAUUCAGUCUUCUGCUGAGCUUUUUGGAAACAAACCCCUCUCUCCCCCUGUGCCUUUUUUGACCUCCUGCUUUGAUUAAACAGACUUUGAACCUUGGAGCCGUCUCUGGAGCUUUGCGUUAGAGUCCAAUUUCUCGGUUCAGUGUCACAGAUACAGCUAAAUUUAUUAGUCUCCUUUAAAUUAAAACAGGCCAGACCCUUAAUUUUUAUUUCCACACCAACUAAAAAAAAUCCUCUACAUUAGCACAUGUAAGAAUGGCUUGUUACUGGGGUUCAGUUUUACUUAAUCACAAUGUCUUCCUUCAGUUUGUUAAUGUGACCGUCUUAGCCAUUACUUCAAGUACAAACUCUUUACUUAUACUCAAAUAAAAUUUAAAAAAAGAACAUUUUACUUCAAGGUGGAAGCAGAAAAUAAUGGGAUACUCCUCAAGUCUGUUCUCCUGCCCUGAGAAGUCAUCCAAUUUAGAGCCAGAGAGAUCAAUCUUUGGUUCUAUCACAAAAUUCAGUGCUUGUCCGUUUGGGUAUUUUAGUCCUCUUAGAAUAAGGGUCAUGACAAAUACAAGGACUGUAUUUUUUAUGCUAUAAUAUGAAUGAGUGAUUUCAAAGAGGGAGGCAGACUAUCCUCUCAUUUCUAAUAUUUUGUAGUCUGUUCUCAAGGCUCAGAACACUUCAUAUUUUCUCCAGCAGAGGGCUCCAGAUUAAACAUUUUCAAAUGAUGUUAAAGGAUGAACAAUUGCACAGUUCAUACAUGACAGGAGGUAUGCAUGAUGUACAACCAGAAUUAAUCUUAUUGGCAGAGUGCAAACCUGGAGAACCAAGCUUUUUUUUUUUUUGACUGUUUUUAUAGUUUUUAAGUAAAUCACAACCUUAUGCCAAGUUCACAUAAAGAAAAUGUACACGCUGGAACUUAAAAUAGUUCAAAUGUAAGUUAUAUAAUCCUUCUGAACUUUGUGUGCAACAAAUCUGCUGUUUAUACAUAUUUGUAUGAAGGCACUGGAGGACUUCUCUCCAUUGCAGGUUUACAUACUCUUGCUCUGUAAACAUAAUAUGCCUACAGCUCAAGCAUUUAUUGGUGUGUGUCUGUUUAGACAUGCAGUAAAGUGUGGGAAAGAAGUCAUAAGAACUACUGUAAUUACGGUGUUUGAUUUAUAUAAUGCUUCUUCAGUAUGUCUCAUUGUUUAAAUGACUAGGAAGCAUCCUAACUGCACACAUGAAGACUGAAGGAGUGAAAUUCAAAACAUAUUAUGCCUCAGGUUUACGGUUUCAUUCUCUAAGGCUGCUGAAAUAUCACAUUUUUAGAUGGAGGGGAAGUUUUGGGGAUGCGAAAGAGACAAGUUAGUGACACACAGUCACUCUCCUCUCUCUCCAAGUAUCACUGAACCGUCACAAGACAUUUUGUUAUACAAGCAGUCGUCUCUUUUUGCCCCUCCAAGGCUUCUGUGGCAAUGUACUCUGCCAGUCUGCAUCAGAGGAAAGAGACACAAUCUGACACUGACUAGGACAAAACAUGGCUGUCAUCCGUUCGCUCCACUUUUCAUCUGCCAUCACUAAAAUGUUAGAAAGUACUUCAAAAAGAGGUUUUAUUUUACAGGAGAAGAUGACUUCUAGAUGCUCCUUAAGUGUCAUACCCCACAAACACUUUGAAGUAGAAACUGAUCUGAUUCACAGCACUGAGGGGAAACUCGCCUGUUUCACAAUAGCAUUUUGUAGAUGUUGGCAGGGUUGGUGUUCAUUAUGCAGUUGCGUAAAAUUACUUUGAGUCACAGUUUCCCCGUUUUUACCCUUAUGAGAGGCUGAAUAAUCGAUUAUUCUUUCCUUCCACAUAUUUGACCUCUUAUUCAAUUCUCUGAGCUACCUACACCCUUGGCCUGAAACUUGAGAUGUCUGGUUUGGUCAUUUCGCAUCAACAUGUUUACUCCAACAGAAACGGCAGAGGUCGAGUUGUUUUGACAGUGCUGUUUGAGUUACACCACACUUGUUUUUAGCGUAUAGUUUCCUUUGGAUUGUGGUCUUUUCCUCAUAUGUUGCAUAAUAUCUUGUGAUGGCUUGUAUAUAAAUAAAAUAAAAGGAUGUGAAAAUGAAUCCUAUGUUUAUUCUCUAUUUUGGUUGCUCGAGUUAGAUAAUAAUGACACGUCAGGCGUUUCAAACCAGAGAGCUGAACCGGCUCCAAAAUAAGUCUCACCCACUCUGUCGUACUAAACAAAUUAUUCGACAGUCUGUCUCUAUGACAGUAAAUAAAGUAAUAUCCAGCACUCAGAACACUUUCUGCCAGGAAUGUCUGGGCAGUCAAAUUGGGUUUUAUUUUAUUUUUCUGUGAUUUCUGUGGAAAUUGUUUUGUGUUCCACUGCUGCAGGCAUUAGUGUUACCACACAGUGCCCCGUCAAAGUUGAAUUAGUGGUUUCAGAGCAGACGCCUGGGGCCACUACCAGCGUCAGACCCUGAUGCCGGUUUGACACCAUCCCUCACGAGCUUUGGCCCUGUUCUUAUUUCAUAUGAUUGUACAGUACAGCUGUGAAAACAAAUGUAAACUUUACCAGAGGAGCUGUGCCCGGUCCUGUUCAGCCUGGGAGACGUUAUGAAACAGGGAACGUGGGUGGGACCAGCGCAGAGAAAUGGAGCUCACAGCCUGGAAAAAACCUAAAGAGACAGGCAGAAGGAGACGGGAAGUGAGCAGAGUAUUUUCAAAGAGGAGCGUGAGCUACACCGCCCCCUCAUCCAGACAUUAUUUUACAUAGCUCAUUACACACUGCUGAGACAUAACUAAUGGGACCAGACAGAGUUGUAGUCUGGUUUCAUGAUUACUCAGGACCGUUCUGAUUGAGACGAUUUGACGCAGGAUUCACAGAGUGAGUCUCAAAAACUUAAGUAUUCACAUGGGCCCUAAGGUCGAGGCUGCUGAGUAUCAUAAAAUGUAUAAUGUGGUUUUGUUUUCUGAAGUUUUGGUCUGUUUUAGUCUGCCAUCUGGCAUGUAGGCAAAAAUGAAAUAUGUCUUCAUAUUGUUGGAAAUUUUGGAAAAUCCCAACCACAGCUUUUCUUUCCAAAAACUACAUCCAAAGACCCAAUUGUCAACACUUUACAGUCCUAUUUAUGAGAUCUGAAUAAAAGUCUUAACAGUGCAGUGGAAACAUGAUACACUAUUCAACAUCAGAUUUAGUUCAUCUGGAGUCAAAACUCUAUUGUAACACACAUAAUACCAGCAUUCAAAGGAAAAACCACUGCAAAGUAUGUACGGUUUCUGUAUUCAUUUACCAAAACAGUUAACAUGAGCCAAAAGUUGAUUCUUGGCAGCAACUGUGCAAAACAUUUGGACAAAACACCGCUCACAGAAAACUGUCAUGUCAUGUGUUAAAAUAGUUCAGUCGAAGAAAAAUCAACGCAAACUUUGAGGUGUGAAAAUCUGAUUUUAGGAGGGUAACAACCAAAGAUUUUGGGAGAUAUUUAAAAAAUGUCUCUAUGUCUUUUUUCCCUUUUUUAUUCAGCCUUUUGAACACAUCACAAAGUCAAAUAUUGACUUUAUAGCCCUAAUUCCAGCUCAUAUUUUCAUAUGACUUUUAUAUGAGUGGAAUAAAUGAGGCUUGUUGGCAUGAAGAUAUUAUUUGGAUCUUGGAAGAUGAUCAAAUUUUAUUUAAAGGAGCCAGGAAGAGCAAGUUAAUGAUAGGAAUUGAAUUUGUCAGAGCUUCAAGGGGUAAUUUCCUCAAAUCACAAUUGAUAGUUAAGUAUGAUCCCCAGUAAUAGACUGUGUGUUGCAUAAGUCCUGUUGUUCUUUUGUUUUUAUAUCCAGUUUGCUUAAUUACACAAUUGUCCCUGGGGAAACGUCUUUGAAAGGAAAAGUGUUGGUAGCGGGAAGUACCACACAAUAUACUCAUUCACAACCCACUCAAUCAAUUGAAUAAGAGAAUACAAUAAUCGAUCACAGAGAAAGCUACUUUUGAUUCUUAUCAUUUGAGGAAACAAAGAAACAAUCAUAAGGCUGCAGCAACAGGAAGUCCCACUGCUUUCCUGCUCUAAACUGGAAAUAAAGACUGCCUACUGCUUUGUGUUGAACAAAUACAACCAAAUACCAACAGGCAACAGGAAUCCCACCAAUUAAAGUCAUUAGCACAAAUACAAAACUGUGAAUGUAGUGUACCAUGCUGCAUGUGAAACUACAUUAAAAUAUUCCUUCUAGGCCAAACAGUGUGAGUUUGACUUAGGUUAUCGCUCUUGUGAGUUAGCUUAACAUGCUAACCUGAUCACACAACUAACCUCAGGUUUUUUGAAUUGAUAAAGUAAUGGUUUACAUAGUUAAUAGAUAGUCAAAUAAGAAGUUUAUUUGUGUGAAUUUCAUAAAAGUAUUGGCUCAGGUUUUAAGUGACAAAGCUGUUUCAUGUUACCUGCUGAUCAUGAGUCCAUUAGGCCAAACAGGAAGAGGGGGAACCCAUUGGUCUUAAUUCUGGAGGGAACUCAGCAUGUACCAUGUUGGGUACAAAGGAGGGGGUUUAAUAUUUUGAGAAGAGUUUUUUCAGACCAAUUUACCAAAAACAGACUGGAUGUUUAUGCAAAUAAAUAGAAAACACAUGCAGAGAAACAUAUUAUCCAGGGCAACAAGUGAAUGAUGAUAAAAUGAAGCUGUUCAUUAAUCAUAAAACCUCUUUGCCUUCAUCGCAGCCAGCAAUUUUUCUAAAUUAAGUUGAAAUUCUGAAGUCAUGUGAGGAUAUGAAUGAAGUUAUAUAAAUAAUAAAAAGCAACAAGUGGCAUGAGAAACAGAGAAUCAGAACAACAGGAAGUAAUGAGGCAUCAUUUCAACACUCUGAUAUUAUUUCAAGCACGGUCAAAAUCAUGAGUGUGAUCAUGUGAAUAUGACAAAGCAGAUCAGUUUCCAUGAAAUGACUGCUUUUAGGCCUCAAGUCUAUUUAAAUCAAUACUAACUUGACAAUGGCUUUUGGUUUUAGCAACAUUUCCCCAUUUAGCUGCCCUGUGAGAACUUAAUGUCUUCCAAAUUGCCUUGUUAUUCAUACGGUUGCUGUCUUUGAGACGAAUGGACAGCUCAGUCCCCACAUAAGAACCGGUAACUGGUUUGAUGAUUGGGCCACCAGACCCCUCACUCAGAUGUCAUUUGUGCUCGAAAAUCUGAUUGUGUAAUUUGUAACAUGCAUCAUAAAUCUUAGUUUGUUUCAACAGGAAGGGAUUAGAGGGUCUGUGCUGGAAACAGCUAGAACACAAUGGAGUGAAAGUGAAUUGUGAAUUUUUUUAUUAAAACUCAUACAGACUAUAAUCCAAGAAGAUCCUGUUGUGCAUGCAUGCUUACAUUUUUAAAGGGGAUAAAUUGUCUUAAUCUAAAAUAAAAAGUGAACUAGUUGCAAUGACUAUUUUGAGUUUAGCAGUGCCAACAUAAAGAUACUAGUUUGGGGUACAAAGCUUAUGGAACCCAAGAUUUUCACAGUAAUAUAAUUUACCAACUAAACAAAUACAUCAACAUUAAACUAUUUAUCUGUUCAGAUUAAUCAGCUUUGUAAAAUUAUUGUAUUAGCCACUUACUCCGUGUGUGUGCUGCUGUUGUAUCUUCUGACAAGUCAAUUCUAAAGUAGCAUGGAGGCAGGCCUAGCACAUGUUGAUAGGGUGAUGUACAGGUUGAACCAGCAGGGGUCAUUAACGCACGGGUUCAACCAGCAGGGGCUGUCAAUCAUUUUCACACUGCAUGAUCUUGAAAACUUGAAAGGAGUUCACAGAAUUAAUAAAAUAAAAAGUGUUUUAAUUUUUAAGUUGUAGCAACUUGCUGUUGUAAUACAAAUUAGUACUUAAAGCUUUAAGCUGACACAACUUCAAAUAUUACAUGCUGCUAACAAAAAGUAUUAAGAAAAAUUCACAUGGUAGUACAAUCCUCCAUUUUUCAAGUUCUUACCAUCUAAAACUUAUAUUAAUAAAAAUUCUUUUACACACAACCACCCGCUUCUUCCUCUUUCAAGGCACAGUGCAUUUCCAACACUGUGCCUUGAAAGUUUCCCACUUCUUCUCCAAAGCUUUGAACAUUACAUAACAGAGGUGCAUCUUGAUAUAAACCAAAUCUAGGUUACCCGAUCUGCUUCAAACUCAAAAUAUUUUUGUAGGUUCAAGUUUCCUGAGCCCUGAGAGAUGAAGAUACUAGUCCAAGUAUCUGAGAUGAUGCAGAAACAGUGAGAGAAAAGAAAGAGCUGAUGAGUCAGCUUGGAGAAACCUGAGAGAAAAGAGGAGAUGAGGAGGACAAAGUGGCUAAAUGGGAGAACGAUAAGAACACAGCUGAGCUUAGGAGACGUAAACGAAAGUUUUGAGAAGUUUCAGAAAAUGUACAGCGCUCUCACAGUAGAACACAGAUACAGACCAGAAGUAUCAGGCUGCAUAAAUAUGUUGACCACGACACAAAUGUCAUAACCAAAGAGAUCAAAGCAACUUCCAAACCAUUAAAUUCAUAAAAUGAGACUGUUCCUAUAAUAGGAAAAGACAGGGCAGGUCCAAUAGACAAGCUUGUCCUGUUGCUUACUUGACACUGAACAUUGCUCAGAGUGGAGUCUUGUGAUGUGGGUGAGUCAAAUCUGGGGAAUCAAAACACACUCACCAAAAACAAACAGGAAAAUCAUCACAUUGGACGUGUUACGUGAAGGGCCAGGUUAUCAAGGUUCAGGGACGUUAAGUUCACAAGGAUCAAAUAAAAACAUUUUUAUACAAUUUUGCAGUGUAUAAGUUUAUGUUAGAAUAGCUGGUCAAGAUAGAGUUUGUUUUCAGAUGUUAUAGAGGUCAGUCUUAUCUGUCUAAGUCACUAAAAUAAGUAAAAAUAUUUUAUCUUCAAUGAUAAUUUAAGAUAGAUAGAUAGAUAGAUAGAUAGAUAGAUAGAUAGAUAGAUAGAUAGAUAGAUAGAUAGAUAGAUAGACUUUAUUAAGAUGUUCAGUCUGAUAAAAACAACCAAUUAAAUGUAACCCCGACAUCAAACAGGAAGUUGUAAUCCAGAUAUCAGGCUAGAAAUCUGCACCAUGCUGCUUUCACUUUCACUAAACCCAAAGUAGAAUGCUACUUUGCCUAUCAGUGCAAAAUUUGCAAUCCUAACAUUAUGCAAAUUUGGGCUAUUCAGACCAAAACCAAAUUUGAACCAGACUCUAAACAUAUUCUCUUCUGCUUCAAGAACAGCAUUUACAAUACAGGUGCCAAUAGGAUUUCUUUGGCUUUUGGAGUCAGCCUCAAGUGGACACUUGAAGAACUGCAGUUGUUUGCACCUUUGCACUGGCUUCAUUAUCAACUCUAAAAGUUUCUGUUCAUUUGGGAAGAAAACAUUAUUUUCAGACAUUACCCUGUAGUAUUUAUUUUCCCUGCAUAAAAAAAGUCUGAUGCAACCCAGUAAUAUGGAAUAUUUUAAAUGUGUCUCCAGGCCUUGUUUUUCCUAUUGGUGAGACUCUUAAAAUA